UUCCCUCCUUUCUCCAUUCUCUGCAUUUGAUCCCCAUGUAUUCCAGCCUCGAGGCAAACACACGUCACCGCGUCCGCCUGGGGCAGGUCAGGGAAGGGACGCGAGGCAGCCGUGUCUCCGCAUUCUGUGAGCGGCAGCGCCCUGGGCCUCGCUGAUCUUGUGUCAUUUCAGUGACCUUCGCUCUAGUCUUUGACGGGGCCACACUCGGGGUGUAAAUUAGGAUCCUCACUGAAGGCGCGCGACCCUGAGAGGCUUUUUCCUGGUCCCUUAGUUGUGAGUUUUCCUGCGGGCGGCGGAGCCCGUUUCCACCAGAACCGCCCAGAGGCCGGCGCUGCCUUCCUGGGGUGACGGAGCAGCUGGAAGCGUUUUCGGAUCCUGGAAUCAGUGGGCGGCCCGUGGGAGGGGCUGAGGCGCAGUUCCCUGCUCACCCGGCUCCGAAUCCACCGCGGUGCUGUUUCAAGCGAGUCAGAUUCCAGAUCGCGCUCCAGCCGGGACUCGGAAUUCCUGCCCCGUGGGUCUGCAUUUUCACAGCGGCAGGUGUGAGUGCCGCGCAGCUGGAGACCAGAACCCUGAAGGCAGCUCGGCCCUCCCCAGCCCACAGCGCCGUUAUUCCGUUUCUAUAUCAGUAAACACUUGUCAUUUUCCGUAGACCAGGGCGGGGUGAUGGGUGAUCCCAGUCCUCGCAGUGAACUCCGGGCCGCAGUCCUGAGAACGCGCUCGGGCGCCCAGCGCAGCCGCGUCCUGAGUUACACACGCGACCACGCUGGGCCUUUUCUCUUUCUUUUCCGGACCCAGCAGUGGCGCCUACAGUCUGCGAGGAGAAAAUCACCUUUGUGCUGGGUGCCCUCUUUGGGAAACCAGGACCUCCUACCCUGCAGAGUCCAGAUUUUGGAAGUAAGAAGAGC
rnacentral:lncRNA from 1 species